CGUAGGUGAACCUGCGGAAGGAUCAUUAACAAAUCCUAGCCGUUGUUGCCUCCGACGGUGGCGACGGUGAAACACCGUGCACUGGAGACCGGAGGAUGGGAGUCCCGGUUCGGUUUACGAGAGGUGUGCAGCCGGCGCAUGCUCGAGCGGGUGCCACACUUAAAUCGAUGGAGAUCAAACGUGACACCGUCCACCGGGCCUCAAACCGAACCAUCCCGCCUUUGGUUUUUUGUCUUUGAACCUGUCGGACUUUUUUUUGUUUUUGGUAGAUUUGUACGUGUGGCAAAAAACUGACAACUUCUGACGGUGGAUCUCUUGGCUCGUGCAUCGAUGAAGAACGCAGCAAGCUGCGAUAUCUAGUGUGAAUUGCAGAAUUCAGUGAAUCAUCGAGUCUUUGAACGCAAAUGGCGCUCCCGGGGUCUCCUCGGGAGCAGGUCUGUCCGAGCGUCUGCCAACCGAAUGGGUCGUCGCCACAUGGUCGACGAGAUUGAGGGGCUGCGGUGAUGCCAUUCUGCCGCACUCCUUGAAGAGAGCCAGCAAUCCGUGCGGUCGAUGUUGGGCCGUGACGGUGUCACGACGAGACGGUCGUCACAGCGGCGCAAAAUGUUGUGCGACCGAUUCUUGUGCGAUGGCCGUCGUGUGUGUCCGCCCGCACCGCAUGGUCUCAGGAAAGC
rnacentral:misc_RNA from 1 species